rnacentral:lncRNA from 1 species
AGGGUUUCGUUUGGAAUCUAGUAGGAGGGCCCAGGCAUGGUCUUCUGGAAGGGACAUACGCUAACUUGCGGGAUUUUGCAAACUUUAGGUAAGUGAGUAGCUGUCUGGUAGAUACGGCUCACCAUUUGCUGCUUUCCUUGCUGUUGUCCCUGUUGCUGAAUUUGUUGUUUAACCGCUUUGGAUGCUCCUUUCAAGGUUGGGCAAACGCAAAGGGGCUCUUCCUGGUGGAGCUCGUUACAGCACUGCUGGAGUAGAGGCGGUCUCUGCUGUGGACCCUGGGGGUUCUCCAUGUCGUCUUCAAAGUCAAACUCACCGUCGAGGGUCCAGCUAGGACCACUGCCAGACUGCAUUGCUUGCUUGUGGAGCCACUGCUGGCAAGCUUUUAGGUGUUGUGCUUGCUGAAACUCCUUCCUACAUUUUGGAAUCCUAAAUGGGCCGGCUGGGUUUGUUGCAUCAUCUUCGUCGAACUCGACCACCGUCCGGUAGAUGGAGGCAUUGGUGAGAAGGAAGAAGAAGGCGAGAGUUGCCGAGACGAGGAAGAGCUUGUUCGCCAUUAGUGUAUGUUUUUAAUCUUGUUUGUAUUGAUGAGUUUUGGUUUGAGUAAAGAGUUAAGCGGAUGAGUUAAUUUAUAGGUGAUAAAGGAGAUUUGCAUGGCGAUCACGUGUAAUAAUGCAUGCACGCAUGUGAUUGUAUGUGUGUGCUGUGAGAGAGAAGCUCUUAGGUGUUUGAAGGGAGUGACAAGUGACGAACAAAAACAAUCCUCCGCGUCUGCAUGCUUUGUGUAACGUGUAGCUAAUGUUCUGGCAUGGCAUCUUAUGAGCGAUUCUUUUUAAAAACAAGGUAAAAACUUAACUUCAUAAAUUAAAAAAAAAACGUUUAGUAAGUUGGUUUAAAAGGGGACGAGAGUCUAAAAAUUUUGGAGGUAGUGCCGUUGGGAAUAUAAAUUGGGAGAGCUUAAUCAGAAUUAUAGAAGUUAAAGUUGAUUUAGUCACGGUCAAUAUAAAUUGGGAAUUUGAGUCAAAAUCUUCCAAAUUCGGAAUCCGUCUUGUUACACCCGGUGGUAGGAGCCGAACGGUUUGAAAAUACUUGAAAUGUGGAUGUACAGGCUGGUUUAAUUUUAUGUUGAAUGGAUACAUGUCAAUCGAAUUAUAGGUACACAUUUUACUCUAAUACUAAAAUGUAACAUUUGUCUCAUCCUUACUCAAGAAUGGUAGCUCAUCCUUACUCGAGAACGGUAUGCCAGUCACUUUAACGUAUAUCUCAUGAAACUCAACUCUAACACUUAUUUCAUACCCAUAUCUAAAAUAAAGAAAACUGAAGAAAAACGGUCAAUAGCAUCAAUCCUUACAAAUAUAAUGCACUUGGAAACCUCACAUGAAAAUAACAAUAAAGAGGAGGUGAAUAAUAUAAGUAGUCCGAAAUGAAGUCUAUGGACUUAGAAAUAACAUUCCAAAUAUAUAUAAUUUAAUCAUAACAUGAAACAAACACAACACCUGAAAUGACAUAGAACAAAUUAGGGACCUAGUUAUAAGAUAAAGACUGGCACACCUCUUUUUUUUUUUGUUCAACUACUGGCACACCUCUAAUAGAAGCUUUCCCUAUGGAGGAUUCAUGUAUGUGACUAGAACCCACACACCGCCCGAAAACGCUUUCUUUAUUGACCUCAUUUACUACAGCUCAACCUGUCGACUUAGCGAAGAGGAAGAGCAAAGAUCAAGCUAACUAAAUUAGGGCUCUUGUUUGAUGAAACUGAAUGAAUGAAUCGAGAGAUGAAUGAGAUCUUCAUAAGCGAAUUAAGAAUCGACAAGGAAAGUUGCCCAAUAAAUAUUUGACAUUUCUUAAUUUUAAGGCCAAUUGGGCCAGUAACAUAUGGUAUUUUGACAGAUAUAUAGAUCCCAGAAUAAAUACUGAAUCAGCAAAAAUGAAAUCAGAGAGCUAAACGCUGAAGAAUCCACAUCUGCGUUCAAACAGUUCAUCCUUUACCUCAAAUAAACAAACUGCCAAAUCUUUUAAAUAUCUCAAACGUAAACAAAAUAUGAAAAAGAGUCUUUGGGACAAACAAAUCAAAAUGGUCUUGACAGCAUAUUGACCCUUGUAUGAUUGAAAGCCACUGAGACCCUCCUGCCAUUAACACAUCAAAUCUUAUAGACACACUUUGAGAAAAUAAAAAUCGUGAGGCCAUCUCAGUGUUAGUGACUCGCCAUGAAGUAAAGGCAUACCAGGAGAGUUUUGUCAAAAAGACAUAAGCUUAUUAGAUAAUUGGAGGGUUUAACUCUUAUAUAUCAUGUGCAGAAUUUAAUUGGUCAACAAAGCAAAUGGAACCAUCCGAUAGAUGUUUUAAAGAACAAGAGGUACAUUUGUAUAUAUGCAUUGGUUGAUACGUUUCUGCCAUCUGAAUUGCUUCUUCCUCAAAGAAGAAGCAAUCACCGAUGAAUGCUAAAGGAUUCAGGUCUAUAUUUGGCUUCUACUAGGCUUGUCUCUACAGUAGACUUUAUUCACAAAUGCAAACAACUUCAAGCAAGGCAAGUGACAGGACAGAUAAUGCUUAGAGAAAGAGAAACCGUUGAAAAGAAGCAGAAAGCACAACUCCCUUCGACUAAUUAAUCUAGGAUUUGCACUGACCAUAUUACUUCAAAGAUAGUUCCAUUUCAAGAAACAUAAACAGAACUUGAAUGAGAAAAAUCUAUGAUCAAAUUCAAAGGGAAAUUUGCAAGAGUACAAAGACAGAUUCAGCAGCACCUAGAAAACCCCAAUUGAUCUGCGUAAAAUCCCAAUUCUCUCUUCUGUUUACAAAAAAAAAUCACGAUCCACACUCUUUUUUGAUUUUCAAAUCAAAACAAAUAAUCAGCCCUGAAUUAUACAGUAAAAUCCCGAUCAAAACGGGUUAAUAAUUUUAUGAAAUAAUACAAAAAAAAAGAAACAGAUUGAGAUCGGCAAAACCUCGAUCAAUCAAUCAAUCAAUCAAACAACAUCGUCCUUCUUGGGUUUCCGAUAAUUCUCUUCGAUGUGCUCGAGGAUGACGCGAACAGUGUUCGUCAGCUUCUUUACAUCGGGAACGUUGUAAUUCUGUGCAACGUAUACACCAUAAGCCGUUCCCAUCGUGAACACCAAGCAGCUCUUCAUUAUCCCCAUCCCCCUCUCUACGCUCCGUACUAGUGUUCUAUUUGCACUUGUACUAUGAUACUUUAAUGGGCCUUCAAUAUUUAUUUCUAAGGCCCAUAGUGGGCCCAAAUCAAAUGAAACCGGCAUGCUCAUUUCCGUUGGUAGACAGAUUAAGAUUAAGGGCCAGAUUGGUUCAAAUGCAGCGGUUGCGGUUGCGGAAGUUUGUGGAUGCGGACGGUUGCAGUUUCUAGCGGUUUUAAGAGAUUUGUACGACUGGUAGUGCGGUUAAAUAUUGGUGCGUUUGCGGGUGACUUAUGACUGGUUAACUACCAAAUGCGGUAACAGUCAAAUAAUAAAUUAACAAUAUUUAUAUUUAAUAUAAUUAUAAAAAUAUCAAAAAGUCAUAAAAUUAUAAUAAAUAUAAAAUUUAUAUUUAGAAAGUUAUAAUUUUAAUUAUUAAAAAUUUAUUAAAAUUGUUUUUAUUAUAAAAUUUUAUAAUAUUAAUUAAAAUAUAAUAGAUAUAUUUUAAUAUUUUCAUAAUUUCAAUUUUAUAUUUAAAAUAAAUAACUAAAGUUUGCUAUCCGAAAAAACUAUCGUUUGCUUUAUUCAAUUGUUUAUUUAAUAUGCCAUUUAAUUUAAUAUUUAAGAUAAAAGAGACCAAAUUUAUCAGAAAUGGUAAGUAAACCGUCCUAUCUUUAAAUUGGGCAAAUUAAUUGCUAUUAAAAUCCAAAAACAAAAAUUAGUAAAAAACUCAGAUUUGAACCCACUACCUGAAGCACUAGAGAACGAGUACGCAAACCCUACAAUGAUCAAGUUGUAAAUAUUUGUCACCCCAAAAUUAUAUAUAAAUUCUGGUGCCUAAAGCGUUUGCUUUGCGGGCUUUAGCCCAUGGCCCGGCCUGUGUACGAGUUAAGAUGAUUGAUCAAGUAAAUUAAACAUUAAGAGCCUCUCUUUUAUUAUGGAGUAGUGCUAAUUUUACAUUAGCCUCAAACAUCCUAGAUAAAACCUUACAUAUUAUUAUGAAACACGCGAUGAGGUGUGGUGUUGACAUAUAUCGACAACCACAUUCAUACACUCGAGGGUUUCGUUUGGAAUCUAGUAGGAGGGCCCAGGCAUGGUCUUCUGGAAGGGACAUACGCUAACUUGCGGGAUUUUGCAAACUUUAGGUAAGUGAGUAGCUGUCUGGUAGAUACGGCUCACCAUUUGCUGCUUUCCUUGCUGUUGUCCCUGUUGUUGAAUUUGUUGUUUAACCGCUUUGGAUGCUCCUUUCAAGGUUGGGCAAACGCAAAGGGGCUCUUCCUGGUGGAGCUCGUUACAGCACUGCUGGAGUAGAGGCGGUCUCUGCUGUGGACCCUGGGGGUUCUCCAUGUCGUCUUCAAAGUCAAACUCACCGUCGAGGGUCCAGCUAGGACCACUGCCAGACUGCAUUGCUUGCUUGUGGAGCCACUGCUGGCAAGCUUUUAGGUGUUGUGCUUGCUGAAACUCCUUCCUACAUUUUGGAAUCCUAAAUGGGCCGGCUGGGUUUGUUGCAUCAUCUUCGUCGAACUCGACCACCGUCCGGUAGAUGGAGGCAUUGGUGAGAAGGAAGAAGAAGGCGAGAGUUGCCGAGACGAGGAAGAGCUUGUUCGCCAUUAGUGUAUGUUUUUAAUCUUGUUUGUAUUGAUGAGUUUUGGUUUGAGUAAAGAGUUAAGCGGAUGAGUUAAUUUAUAGGUGAUAAAGGAGAUUUGCAUGGCGAUCACGUGUAAUAAUGCAUGCACGCAUGUGAUUGUAUGUGUGUGCUGUGAGAGAGAAGCUCUUAGGUGUUUGAAGGGAGUGACAAGUGACGAACAAAAACAAUCCUCCGCGUCUGCAUGCUUUGUGUAACGUGUAGCUAAUGUUCUGGCAUGGCAUCUUAUGAGCGAUUCUUUUUAAAAACAAGGUAAAAACUUAACUUCAUAAAUUAAAAAAAAAACGUUUAGUAAGUUGGUUUAAAAGGGGACGAGAGUCUAAAAAUUUUGGAGGUAGUGCCGUUGGGAAUAUAAAUUGGGAGAGCUUAAUCAGAAUUAUAGAAGUUAAAGUUGAUUUAGUCACGGUCAAUAUAAAUUGGGAAUUUGAGUCAAAAUCUUCCAAAUUCGGAAUCCGUCUUGUUACACCCGGUGGUAGGAGCCGAACGGUUUGAAAAUACUUGAAAUGUGGAUGUACAGGCUGGUUUAAUUUUAUGUUGAAUGGAUACAUGUCAAUCGAAUUAUAGGUACACAUUUUACUCUAAUACUAAAAUGUAACAUUUGUCUCAUCCUUACUCAAGAAUGGUAGCUCAUCCUUACUCGAGAACGGUAUGCCAGUCACUUUAACGUAUAUCUCAUGAAACUCAACUCUAACACUUAUUUCAUACCCAUAUCUAAAAUAAAGAAAACUGAAGAAAAACGGUCAAUAGCAUCAAUCCUUACAAAUAUAAUGCACUUGGAAACCUCACAUGAAAAUAACAAUAAAGAGGAGGUGAAUAAUAUAAGUAGUCCGAAAUGAAGUCUAUGGACUUAGAAAUAACAUUCCAAAUAUAUAUAAUUUAAUCAUAACAUGAAACAAACACAACACCUGAAAUGACAUAGAACAAAUUAGGGACCUAGUUAUAAGAUAAAGACUGGCACACCUCUUUUUUUUUUUGUUCAACUACUGGCACACCUCUAAUAGAAGCUUUCCCUAUGGAGGAUUCAUGUAUGUGACUAGAACCCACACACCGCCCGAAAACGCUUUCUUUAUUGACCUCAUUUACUACAGCUCAACCUGUCGACUUAGCGAAGAGGAAGAGCAAAGAUCAAGCUAACUAAAUUAGGGCUCUUGUUUGAUGAAACUGAAUGAAUGAAUCGAGAGAUGAAUGAGAUCUUCAUAAGCGAAUUAAGAAUCGACAAGGAAAGUUGCCCAAUAAAUAUUUGACAUUUCUUAAUUUUAAGGCCAAUUGGGCCAGUAACAUAUGGUAUUUUGACAGAUAUAUAGAUCCCAGAAUAAAUACUGAAUCAGCAAAAAUGAAAUCAGAGAGCUAAACGCUGAAGAAUCCACAUCUGCGUUCAAACAGUUCAUCCUUUACCUCAAAUAAACAAACUGCCAAAUCUUUUAAAUAUCUCAAACGUAAACAAAAUAUGAAAAAGAGUCUUUGGGACAAACAAAUCAAAAUGGUCUUGACAGCAUAUUGACCCUUGUAUGAUUGAAAGCCACUGAGACCCUCCUGCCAUUAACACAUCAAAUCUUAUAGACACACUUUGAGAAAAUAAAAAUCGUGAGGCCAUCUCAGUGUUAGUGACUCGCCAUGAAGUAAAGGCAUACCAGGAGAGUUUUGUCAAAAAGACAUAAGCUUAUUAGAUAAUUGGAGGGUUUAACUCUUAUAUAUCAUGUGCAGAAUUUAAUUGGUCAACAAAGCAAAUGGAACCAUCCGAUAGAUGUUUUAAAGAACAAGAGGUACAUUUGUAUAUAUGCAUUGGUUGAUACGUUUCUGCCAUCUGAAUUGCUUCUUCCUCAAAGAAGAAGCAAUCACCGAUGAAUGCUAAAGGAUUCAGGUCUAUAUUUGGCUUCUACUAGGCUUGUCUCUACAGUAGACUUUAUUCACAAAUGCAAACAACUUCAAGCAAGGCAAGUGACAGGACAGAUAAUGCUUAGAGAAAGAGAAACCGUUGAAAAGAAGCAGAAAGCACAACUCCCUUCGACUAAUUAAUCUAGGAUUUGCACUGACCAUAUUACUUCAAAGAUAGUUCCAUUUCAAGAAACAUAAACAGAACUUGAAUGAGAAAAAUCUAUGAUCAAAUUCAAAGGGAAAUUUGCAAGAGUACAAAGACAGAUUCAGCAGCACCUAGAAAACCCCAAUUGAUCUGCGUAAAAUCCCAAUUCUCUCUUCUGUUUACAAAAAAAAAUCACGAUCCACACUCUUUUUUGAUUUUCAAAUCAAAACAAAUAAUCAGCCCUGAAUUAUACAGUAAAAUCCCGAUCAAAACGGGUUAAUAAUUUUAUGAAAUAAUACAAAAAAAAAGAAACAGAUUGAGAUCGGCAAAACCUCGAUCAAUCAAUCAAUCAAUCAAACAACAUCGUCCUUCUUGGGUUUCCGAUAAUUCUCUUCGAUGUGCUCGAGGAUGACGCGAACAGUGUUCGUCAGCUUCUUUACAUCGGGAACGUUGUAAUUCUGUGCAACGUAUACACCAUAAGCCGUUCCCAUCGUGAACACCAAGCAGCUCUUCAUUAUCCCCAUCCCCCUCUCUACGCUCCGUACUAGUGUUCUAUUUGCACUUGUACUAUGAUACUUUAAUGGGCCUUCAAUAUUUAUUUCUAAGGCCCAUAGUGGGCCCAAAUCAAAUGAAACCGGCAUGCUCAUUUCCGUUGGUAGACAGAUUAAGAUUAAGGGCCAGAUUGGUUCAAAUGCAGCGGUUGCGGUUGCGGAAGUUUGUGGAUGCGGACGGUUGCAGUUUCUAGCGGUUUUAAGAGAUUUGUACGACUGGUAGUGCGGUUAAAUAUUGGUGCGUUUGCGGGUGACUUAUGACUGGUUAACUACCAAAUGCGGUAACAGUCAAAUAAUAAAUUAACAAUAUUUAUAUUUAAUAUAAUUAUAAAAAUAUCAAAAAGUCAUAAAAUUAUAAUAAAUAUAAAAUUUAUAUUUAGAAAGUUAUAAUUUUAAUUAUUAAAAAUUUAUUAAAAUUGUUUUUAUUAUAAAAUUUUAUAAUAUUAAUUAAAAUAUAAUAGAUAUAUUUUAAUAUUUUCAUAAUUUCAAUUUUAAUUUUUUUAUUAAAUAUUUUUACUUUUGUAUAUAUAUUGUUUAAAAAAAAAGAGAAAAAAUUAUCCUCCCGCAACCGCAAACGCUAGCUGGAGCCAACUUUUGAAUUUAUGAGAUUCAGAGCGGUUUGAAGUGGUUUAGAGCGAUUUGAGUGAUUGUUGCAAACCGCCGACAACCGCUACCAACCGCAAAAGCUGCGUUUGCGGGUGGUAGCGGGAAAACCAGUCACCCCAUCUUCUCGGUUCCUGAAAUCUUGUCUCUUUACUUGGGAUUUAAGACAUGAUCGACUGAUAGACAGAUUAAAUCUUCUCGGUUUGAUGCGUAUGUGAGACAUCUGUUUUUGAUGGUUGUCUGGUUGGGGUUGUUAUUGUACAUGUAGGCUUAUAAGGAAUGGCAAAGAGCACAUUCAAGGAAGAGCAUGACCUAGGUUUGGAUCCUACCUUUUUGUUCUCUUAGUUUUGUGUUUGAUUCUCAAGUAAACUUAUAACUUUUGGAUCUAAUGAUGAUUCUAUUUUCUGCCUUCAGAGAAAAGAAGUGUAGAGGCUGCUCGGAUUAGAGAGAAAUAUCCAGAUAGGAUUCCGGCGAGUGCUCAGUGUUUUACAUUACCUAAACACAUAUGUGAUUAGCAUAUUGUCUUCCUUUUCCAUGUUUGGACGAUCCCUUUGUGUUGCACUCAGCUUAAGCUCUUGUUAUGUUUCAUGGCCCAACAUCUAUAUCCUUUUUUUCUGUCUUGGGUGAUUAUGAACUUAUCAUAUCUUUGGCUAUAGUUUUGUAGAUAACAAUCUGGAUUUAUAUGUACUCCCAUUUAACAGUUGGUUAUUAACCUCUGAUUAGCCUCAUGCUUGUGAUAUUUUUAUAUUUGGGCACUGUAUCAACUCAACUACUGAACUUGUUUGAAUUCUAGUGUCAUAUUGGGAAGUGAUUAAUGAUUUUACAUGGUUACUUAAAAAGUAGUGACACUUGAGUGAUGAUCUUCACCCUUUUUUGUAUUUGUGUGGGAUCCGGGUGAUUGUUGAGAAGGGUGAGAAGAGUGAUAUACCAACCAUCGACAAGAAAAAUUAAGCAUAUUGAUUACUGUAAUCAAUAUACAUCUCCCUCGGACCUGACUUGUGAUUGACACAACUAAGCUUUUUAUCCUGGAUGCAGAUACCUAGUCCCAGCUGAUCUGACAGUGGGGCAGUUCGUGUAUGUCAUUCGCAAAAUAAUCAAACUGAGUGCAGAAAAGGCUAUCUUUAUCUUUGUCGACAAUGUUCUUCCUCCAACAGGUAGCACUGAUAAGCUCUUACUUACUGUGUAUUCAUGACUUCUUUAAUAUCAUCCUAAGACAUCUACUUUGAUAACUCUGGCAGGUGCGUUAAUGUCUGCUGUGUAUGAAGAGAAAAAGGAUGAUGAUGGUUUCCUCUAUGUCACUUACAGUGGAGAGAACACAUGUGGAUCUCCAUAGAGAUCUCUUGCUGGAUACUUCGUUUCUAUUUUACCUAUUUCGCCUGAGUAUUUCAUUUCUUAUUAUUAGUUAUCUAAGCAAAGCAGCCUAUGUACUACUUCUCUAAGAACUUUAAGAUGGCCGUUCAUGUGUACAGAGAACAUAAAAAUAAUGUAUAUAUAAUCUCAAAACCUACUUGAUUAUGUUUUCGAUUGACUUUCACUCAGUAAGCCGACAUAACAUGUUGCCGUGAGUGCCACUGUAGUUACAGAGGCAAAAAAGUCUUUAACUAAAUAGAACAGCAGUGGC